UUCCUGCGGGACGCGGCCAAUGGGGGGCGCGCGUACAGUCUGCGGGCCAAUGGCGCCGCCUCUCUUAUCGCGAAGCCCCUUCUUCCUCCAACGCCCUGUUUCCUCUCUCGGGUUUCCUCCUCCUUCCCCCCGCGGAGGAGGAGGAGGAGGAGGAGGGCGAGGGGAGAGGGAAGGGGGGGAGUGUGGCAGGACGGGUGGUAAUGGGGAGGCUUCGGGGCCUAUAAUGGAGCCCGGGGGUAAGCGAAGGGGCGCCAGUGCGCAGCGAAGGUUCUAGGAGAGGAGGUGCACGGAGGAAAGGGCGGGGGCUGCUGAUGUAAUUAGGAGAAGUGAUUAAUCCUGCAUUUUGCCGUUCCGGCCUCCCGCCACCCCAGCCCUCACCUGGUUUUCUUAGAGUGGAGUGAGGGAGUCGAUCUUUGCUAACUCGGGAUUUCUGUGCUCGGUCCGACGCUCUCAAAAAAGAGAAACUCCCAGGAGGAAUUAUCUUUUGUAUCUAUCUGGUCCCCUUAGCAUAAUCUCUCCCCGAGGAAAUGGUUUCUCUUCCCUGGCUGCCGUUGUGAUGGCUGAAAAUGUGCUCUUCUCACUAUUUACUCAUUAUGGCAUAGCUAGUAGUUUGCCUCUGGAUUCCCUUAUUUUCGAGACCUUUCAGUGAUUUCCUACUUGAAUUCCAUUGAUUGCUUUCUAGGCUCAAGAUAGAUAAGACAAUACAAAGCUUAGUAAAACCAAGACGGAGGGGGGAGAAGAGUGAAUUCUGAGAGAAACACAAGAAGAGAGAUAAAAUAGUAUUGUGUGAGCCCCAUCUUUUGGUUUGGUUUGGUUUGGUUUUUCGAGACAGGGUUUCUCUGUGGCUUUGGAGGCUGUAGACCAGGCUGGUCUCCAACUCACAGAGAGUCACCUGCCUCUGCCUCCAGAGUGCUGGGAUUACAGGUGUGCGCCAGCACCACCCGGCUGCCCCCGAUUUCUUAUGUGAUUCUAGGCAAAUCACCUUUCUGGAUAUCAGACAUCUCUCCUAUUUAAAUAAAACUUUAUCAGAUAAUA